UAAAAACCACAUGAGUUAACAACGGAGGGAGAGAGUAAACAAGAGUCCAUUAAAUACAGUUUCUAUAUCUGGCUUUAAGGUACUUUGAGAAAAAAAUACCCGUCAGACUUUAUUUUGGUUUACCUCGUGGGUCAACUAGGUGAUUCAGAGCCAACGCUGUGGGGGUUGGUCUGUUCUCCUGGUGUGUGUGUGGAAAGCCUUAUUCCAGAUGCAUCAGGAGUCAGCUUAGUGGAGUAGGGUGAACACAGGCUUUGGAGGAAAGCUGAUACCAACACUACCAGGUCUGCCAAUAAGAGACAGCUAUGAAUUUGAGGACACACAUAGCCUCUCAGCCACAGGGUCCUCAUCUGUGAUCUAGAGCCCCUCACCUUACUUAUAUAUUGCUCCUGAGGAUUACAUGAGCCUACUGUUACUUACUAUCUUCUAAGCCCCUCUAUGUUCUUUCAGCACAAGGCCUUCUGCCAAGUCUCUGUGUAGCUGGGGUUCUAAAGAGAAGGCUAUUGCAUCUGGAUGUGUGGGGCAACCAGGGAAGGUCUCGGGCCCCUCCAUUCCAUUCCUGUAGCCAGAAUUUUGGGGGUUAGGAAUUUCAAAACCAGAUCCCUGUCUACAGGGUCCAUUCAGAUGGGGGUCACUUCCCUAGCUAGUGGUGAAAAUAUGAAGACUCCCAGCAUCCAAGAUGGGCAGCACAUAGAAAUCCAAGGAGAGUGGAGUUAGGCUCAAACCACAGCAG